ensembl:lncRNA
GUGUGUAUAGGGUGUGUGUAUAGGGUGUGUAUAUAGGGUGUGUGUAUAAGGUGUGUGUAUUGGGUGUGUAUAUAGGGUGUGUGUAUAGGGUGUGUGUAUAGGGUGUGUAUAUAGGGUGUGUGUAUAGGGUGUGUGUAUAGGGUGUGUAUAUAGGGUGUGUGUAUAAGGUGUGUGUAUUGGGUGUGUAUAUAGGGUGUGUGUAUAGGGUGUGUGUAUAGGGUGUGUAUAUAGGGUGUGUGUAUAGGGUGUGUGUAUAGGGUGUGUAUAUAGGGUGUGUGUAUAGGGUGUGUGUAUAGGGUGUGUGUAUAGGGU